GACGAACGCUGGCGGCGUGCCUAAUACAUGCAAGUCGAGCGGAAGUUGGAGAGCUUGCUCUUCAACUUUAGCGGCGGACGGGUGAGUAACACGUGGGCAACCUGCCCUGCAGAUCGGGAUAACUCCGGGAAACCGGUGCUAAUACCGAAUAGUUUUCGCCACCUCCUGGUGGCGUACGGAAAGACGGUUUCGGCUGUCACUGCAUGAUGGGCCCGCGGCGCAUUAGCUAGUUGGUGGGGUAACGGCCCACCAAGGCAAAGAUGCGUAGCCGACCUGAGAGGGUGAUCGGACAAACGGGGACUGAGACACGUCCCAGACUCCUGCGGGAGGCAGCAGUAGGGAAUCUUCCGCAAUGGACGAAAGUCUGACGGAGCAACGCCUCAUGAGUGACGAAGGUUUUCGGAUCGUAAAACUCUGUUGUGAGGGAAGAACAAGUACCAACUAACUACUGGUACCUUGACGGUACCUCACCAGAAAGCCACGGCUAACUACGUGCCAGCCGCCGCCGUAA
rnacentral:rRNA from 1 species